UACGUAGGGGGCAAGCGUUGUCCGGAUUUAUUGGGCGUAAAGAGCGUGUAGGCGGCCAGGUAGGUCUGCUGUGAAAACUCGAGGCUUAACCUCGAGAUGUCGGCGGAAACCAUCUGGCUAGAGUCCGGAAGAGGAGAGUGGAAUUCCUGGUGUAGCGGUGAGAUGCGCAGAUAUCAGGAAGAACACCCGUGGCGAAGGCGGCUCUCUGGGACGGUACUGACGCUGAGACGCGAAAGCGUGGGGAGCGAACAGG
rnacentral:rRNA from 1 species